GGAAGAAGGAAAAAAGGUUCCAACUAGUUACCAUUUUGCUUUUCAAAGUCAAACUUCUCUUGAGAGCUCACCAUGGCCUGGGAUCUGUCCUUCAUUGCAAUUCUUAGCUGUUUCUCAGGUAAGAGUUUAGAAGACUCAAUUUUCCAUUGGAUUCUGAGCCAACCACAAAACUAUUUAUAUUGUGCACAUAUCAUACAGCCUGGCAGAUAUUUGGGAGCACAAUGAAUCAAUCUAGGUUUUACAAUGCAUUUCUUUUUCUUUUUAUAAAGUUGUGAUUUCACAGAUUACUUUGAUUCAACCUGCUUCUCAUUCUGCAUCUCCUGGACAAACGGCAAAACUCUCCUGCACUUACACCAGCAGUCUGAGCUAUAUUGGCUGGUAUCAACAGAGACCUGGACAGGCCCCUCGCUAUGUGCAUUUUAAUGGCUACGAUCGGGGUGAAGGGAUUCCAGAUCGGUUCACUGCUUCUGUCUCUGGGAAUAGUGGCUAUUUAACAAUCACUGACAUCCAGCCUGAAGAUGAGGCUGAAUAUUACUGUCUGGGUUCGGUU